rnacentral:snoRNA from 1 species
CUGAUGAACCGAUCUGCUUUGCAUAGUUCACACAGAACACAUCGUGUUGACACAACUGCAUCUUUCAAUGUCUUUCGCUCCUAUCUGAUUCUUUUC